CCAGCAUGGGACAAAUGGAAAUGGAGGGACUGUUCUAACACAAAAGAGUAAGCUCUGUUAUCUUAUAGUUGUUGGUUCAGUAAUGAUUCAAGGUAGAAAAAAGCUUCAGCCACAAACACAAAAAUGUCAGCAACUGUCAGCUCAGGAAACACAGCUCAAUGCUCACCUCUAUUUGCCCUCUCAGAAAGCAGCUCAGGGGCUCCAUUAACAUAGGUGCAAGGGUUGGGAAGAUCACAAUGCCGUAUCUCUCAACCCACCUUUACUCUUUGACAGCUUCCAACACUGAGCGAUCAUGGAUUAGUGUUGUUCUCUGAAAGCUUGGAUAUUUCUAUCUGCUCGCUGACAUCAGAUGGUUUCUCACCUUGGCUUGGAUCAGUUUACCAGUGAGGGAAAAAAAAACAAAAACUGGUUGAUGGCACAAGUAAAAUAAACAUUACGCCAAUGUGGCCUCUCUGAAGAG